UACGGGGGGAGCAAGCGUUGUUCGGAUUUACUGGGCGUAAAGCGCACGUAGGCGGCUUUGUAAGUUAGAGGUGAAAGCCCGGGGCUCAACUCCGGAAUAGCCUUUAAGACUGCAUCGCUAGAAUUGUGGAGAGGUAAGUGGAAUUCCGAGUGUAGAGGUGAAAUUCGUAGAUAUUCGGAAGAACACCAGUGGCGAAGGCGACUUACUGGACACAUAUUGACGCUGAGGUGCGAAAGCGUGGGGAGCAAACAGG
rnacentral:rRNA from 1 species